rnacentral:rRNA from 1 species
AGCAGCCGCGGUAAUUCCAGCUCCAAUAGCGUAUAUUAAAGUUGUUGUGGUUAAAAAGCUCGUAGUUGAACCUUGGGCCUGGCUGGCCGGUCCGCCUCACCGCGUGUACUGGUCCGGCCGGGCCUUUCCCUCUGUGGAACCCCAUGCCCUUCACUGGGUGUGGCGGGGAAACAGGACUUUUACUGUGAAAAAAUUAGAGUGCUCCAGGCAGGCCUAUGCUCGAAUACAUUAGCAUGGAAUAAUAGAAUAGGACGUGUGGUUCUAUUUUGUUGGUUUCUAGGACCGCCGUAAUGAUUAAUAGGGACAGUCGGGGGCAUCAGUAUUCAAUUGUCAGAGGUGAAAUUCUUGGAUUUAUUGAAGACUAACUACUGCGAAAGCAUUUGCCAAGGAUGUUUUCAUUAAUCAGGAACGAAAGUUAGGGGAUCGAAGACGAUCAGAUACCGUCGUAGCCUUAACCAUAAACUAUGCCGACUAGGGAUCGGAUGAUGUUAACUUUUCUUGACUCG